rnacentral:lncRNA from 1 species
UAUCCCAGUUGCGUCUUCUGAAGCUGAGUCUCCUGUUUUAUGGUUCAUCCAAAUGUGCAGUGCUCAUCUGACUCGCUCAUCACCAUGCAGUGGGGCUGCAUGGAUGAAGCUAAUUUGUGCCGGGCCUAUUUGGAAGCUGGUGUUCCCGUCAUGAAGACUCAGAGCCAAACUGCACUUACUCUCCGCUGGACCUGAGGCUGUGUGGGUAUAUGUGCCAAAAUGGAAUGCAUCUCAGCUUGGCAAUCCUCAAGUCUACAAUAUUCUCAAAGCUCUGUUUAGGCUAACUUAAUGUUGGACCUUCCCCUUUUCCCAUAGUCCAAAGAAACAUCUCCCUUCUUUGACUCCCUAUAACAUUUGAUCUGCUUCUCCUCAGUGUUGUACCUCACUUUCUAAUUGCAUUAUCUCUUGUGAUCUUUGCUGACAACAAAAUUAAUGUUUUGUUCAUUGUGUAUCCUCCACAGCAUCUACCAUAUGAGUAUUCCAUCAGUAAGUGCUGAAAAUGUUAGACAAAAAUAAAAAAUAAAAAAUAAACCACCAAAAACCAAAACCCACUAGAUUCCUAGAAUAGAAAACAAGGCCACUAGAAAUAUGUGAAAUAUAGAACUAAAGGGAGGUCAAGGCUUACAGAUUGGUACAUUUUGCACUACAUUUCUAAGUGAAGUCAUCUUGACUCUUCUCUUUCUCUUACAUGUCAUAUCCAAUCCAUCAGCAAAUUCUAUUGAUUCUGGCUUCUAAACACAUACAAAAUCCAAUCACUUUUUACAGCCAGCCUAAUGCUAGCUAC